AGAACUUAGCAGAGAUGCUUUGGUGCCUUCGGGAACUCUGAGACAGGUGCUGCAUGGCUGUCGUCAGCUCGUGUUGUGAAAUGUUGGGUUAAAUCCCGCAACGAGCGCAACCCUUAUCCUUUGUUGCCAGCGGUCCGGCCGGGAACUCAAAGGAGACUGCCAGUGAUAAACUGGAGGAAGUGGGGAUGACGUCAAGUCAUCAUGGCCCUUACGAGUAGGGCUACACACGUGCUACAAUGGCGCAUACAAAGAGAAGCGACCUCGCGAGAGCAAGCGGACCUCAUAAAGUGCGUCGUAGUCCGGAUUGGAGUCUGCAACUCGACUCCAUGAAGUCGGAAUCGCUAGUAAUCGUAGAUCAGAAUGCUACGGUGAAUACGUUCCCGGGCCUUGUACACACCGCCCGUCACACCAUGGGAGUGGGUUGCAAAAGAAGUAGGUAGCUUAACCUUCGGGAGGGCGCUUACCACUUUGUGAUUCAUGACUGGGGUGAAGUCGUAACAAGGUAAGCGUAGCGAG
rnacentral:rRNA from 1 species